AACGAACGCUGGCGGCGCGCCUAAUACAUGCAAGUCGAGCGAGAAGACGUAGCAAUACGUUUGUAAAGCGGCGAACGGGUGAGGAAUACAUGGGUAACCUACCCUCGAGUGGGGAAUAACUAGCCGAAAGGUUAGCUAAUACCGCGUACGCUCCUUGGACUUCGGUUCAGGGAGGAAAGCGAUACCGUGGGUAUCGCGCUCUUGGAUGGGCUCAUGUCCUAUCAGCUUGUUGGNGAGGUAACGGCUCACCAAGGCUUCGACGGGUAGCUGGUCUGAGAGGACGAUCAGCCACACUGGCACUGCGACACGGGCCAGACUCCUACGGGAGGCAGCAGUAAGGAAUAUUGCGCAAUGGGCGAAAGCCUGACGCAGCGACGCCGCGUGGGGGA
rnacentral:rRNA from 1 species